rnacentral:rRNA from 1 species
AUACGAAUGGAGCGAGCGUUGUUCGGAAUCACUGGGCGUAAAGCGUGCGCAGGCGGUUAUGAAAGUCAGAAGUGAAAGCCCAGGGCUUAACCCUGGAAUUGCUUUUGAAACUCCAUGACUAGAGUACUGGAGGGGUUGGCGGAAUUUCGAGUGUAGCAGUGAAAUGCGUAGAUAUUCGAAGGAACACCGAUGGCGUAGGCAGCCAACUGGACAGUAACUGACGCUCAUGCACGAAAGCGUGGGGAUC